CGGGAAAAGCUCAAAUUUAAAAUCUGGUGGUUAUGCCAUCCGAAUUGUAAUUUAGAGAAGUGUUAUCCGCGCUGGACCGUGUAUAAGUCUCCUGGAAUGGAGCGUCAUAGAGGGUGAGAAUCCCGUCUUUGACACGGACUACCAGGGCUUUGUGAUGCGCUCUC
rnacentral:rRNA from 1 species